UACGGAGGGUGCAAGCGUUAUCCGGAUUUACUGGGCUUAAAGGGCGCGUAGGCGGAUAUGUAAGUCAGUGGUGAAAUCUCCGGGCUUAACCCGGAAACUGCCGUUGAUACUAUAUAUCUUGAAUGCUGUGGAGGUAAGCAGAAUAUGUCAUGUAGCGGUGAAAUGCUUAGAGAUGACAUAGAAUACCUAUUGCGAAGGCAGCUUACUACGCAGAUAUUGACGCUCAUGCACGAAAGCGUGGGGAUCAAACAGG
rnacentral:rRNA from 1 species